AUUGAACGCUGGCGGCAGGCUUAACACAUGCAAGUCGAACGAGUGGCGGACGGGUGAGUAAUGUCUGGGAAACUGCCUGAUGGAGGGGGAUAACUACUGGAAACGGUAGCUAAUACCGCAUACCAUCGGAUGUGCCCAGAUGGGAUUAGCUAGUAGGUGGGGUAAAGGCUCACCUAGGCGACGAUCCCUAGAUGGUCUGAGAGGAUGACCAGCCACACGGGAACUGAGACACGGACCAGACUCCGACGGUAGGAAGCAGUGGGGAAUAUUGCACAAUGGGGGAAAGACUGAUGCAGCCAUGCCGCGUGUAGGAGGAAGGCCUUCGGGUUGUAAAGUACUUUCAGCGGGGAGGCGUUACCCGCAGAAGAAGCACCGGCUAACUCCGUGCCAGCAGCCGCGGUAAUAC
rnacentral:rRNA from 1 species